UUUAGCCUCUCUCUACCUCUGGUGUAAAGAAUGGCAGCAUUUGAAUACUGGAGCAGCAGGCAGGAGGAAAUGCACAGUGGUCCAGAUGGACGUUAGAAGCGAGCCACUUCAGUGAGGCUGGGCACUGCUCCCUGAUCUAGAUGCAGCUGGUGCAGUCCUGUGUUAAAACUGGCACACAGGAGACUGCUGGAGUCACACGGAGCCAGAGACACCAAAGGCCCUGAACCGUCCAGAGUUAAUGUGUACAAACAUGCUGAAGAGAGAAUAUGAAGGAGACCAGAGUCAAACCAUGUAGACUUUGAAUUGAUGUGACUAUUUUUUUUUUUUUUUACGAUUAAACCAGCUUGACAAGUUUAGGGUAAGAUUUUUGCUU